GACAGAGGGUGCAAACGUUGUUCGGAUUUACUGGGCGUAAAGCGCGUGUAGGCGGCUUGGCAAGUCGGAUGUGAAAGCCCACGGCUCAACCGUGGAAGCGCAUCCGAAACGGCCUCGCUCGAGUCUCGGAGAGGAUGGUGGAAUGCUUGGUGUAGAGGUGAAAUUCGUAGAUAUCAAGCAGAACACCUGCGGCGAAGGCGGCCUUCUGGACGAUGACUGACGCUGAGACGCGAAAGCGUGGGGAGCAAACAGG
rnacentral:rRNA from 1 species